rnacentral:rRNA from 1 species
GGGGGAUAUUGCACAAUGGACGAAAGUCUGAUGGAGCAACGCCGCGUGAGCGAUGAAGGCCUUCGGGUCGUAAAGCUCUGUUGUUAGGGAAGAACAAGUAUCGGAGUAACUGCCGGUACCUUGACGGUACCUAACCAGAAAGCCACGGCUAACUACGUGCCAGCAGCCGCGGUAAUACGUAGGUGGCAAGCGUUGUCCGGAAUUAUUGGGCGUAAAGCGCGCGCAGGCGGUCCUUUAAGUCUGAUGUGAAAGCCCACGGCUCAACCGUGGAGGGUCAUUGGAAACUGGGGGACUUGAGUGCAGAAGAGGAAAGCGGAAUUCCACGUGUAGCGGUGAAAUGCGUAGAGAUGUGGAGGAACACCAGUGGCGAAGGCGGCUUUCUGGUCUGUAACUGACGCUGAGGUGCGAAAGCGUGGGGAGCAAAC